rnacentral:rRNA from 1 species
CCUACGGGAGGCAGCAGUGAGGAAUAUUGGUCAAUGGGCGCUAGCCUGAACCAGCCAAGUAGCGUAAAGUAUGACUGCCCUAUGGGUUGUAAACUUCUUUUAUAUGGGUAUAAAGUGCAGUGUGUAUACUGCUUUGCAUGUACCUUAUGAAUAAGUAUCGGCUAACUCCGUGCCAGCAGCCGCGGUAAUACGGAGGAUCCGAGCGUUAUCCGGAUUUAUGGGGUUUAAAGGGAGCGUAGGCGGGUUGUUAAGUCAGUUGUGAAAUUUUGCGGCUCAACCGUAAAAUUGCAGUUGAUACUGGCAUCCUUGAGUACAGUAGAGGUAGGCGGAAUUCGUGGUGUAGCGGUGAAAUGCUUAGAUAUCACGAAGAACUCCGAUUGCGAAGGCAGCCUGCUGGACUGUAACUGACGCUGAUGCUCGAAAGUGUGGGUAUCAAACAGGAUUAGAUACCCGUGUAGUC